CGCAGCCGCGGUAAUUCCAGCUCCAAUAGCGUAUAUUAAAGUUGUUGCAGUUAAAAAGCUCGUAGUUGAAUUUCGGGAUCAAUUUAUUGGUCGUGCAAUAGUACGUACUGGUAUUAUUGGUUCCUACCUUCUGAUGAACCAUGAUGUCAUUAAUUUGGUGUUAUGGGGAAUCAGGACUGUUACUUUGAAAAAAUUAGAGUGUUUAAAGCAGGCUCACGCUUGAAUACAUUAGCAUGGAAUAAUGAAAUAGGACGUUUGAUUCUAUUUUGUUGGUUUCUAGGAUCGACGUAAUGAUUAAUAGGGAUAGUUGGGGGCAUUAGUAUUCAAUUGUCAGAGGUGAAAUUCUUGGAUUUAUUGAAGACUAACUACUGCGAAAGCAUUUGCCAAGGAUGUUUUCAUUAAUCAAGAACGAAAGUUAGGGGAUCGAAGACGAUCAGAUACCGUCGUAGUCUUAACCAUAAAACUAUGCCGACUAGGGAUCGGAUGAUGUUAAUUUUUAAUGACUCAUUCGGCGUCCCG
rnacentral:rRNA from 1 species